rnacentral:lncRNA from 1 species
UGUUUGGUUUUGACUUCUGUUAGAGCUCGGUUUGUGGGAUUGGGAUGAUGCGUUUGGACUCUAAUAAAAGAAGAAUUCGGCCAGAAGAGAGGAGAGCUUGCUAUUACGUAGAAAAACAACAAUCUUACAACACACAAGGCAAGAAUUCAAGAGCGAUUUCAAGGAUUGAAGAGCGAACGUUGGAGGAGUAAUUUUCAGAGAUUAUCACGACGGUUGCGAAUCAAGGCUACGUGAAGGGGUUUUCUUUAUUCUUCUUCUCUUUAGUCUUAUUUGUAAUUGGGAUGAUGUUUUCAACAAAG